rnacentral:lncRNA from 1 species
GGGGCAAGACAACUUUUUUUCGCUCCCUGUUCGGACUUCUUCCCUUCUCAGCGCUGUGCCUGUCUGGCUCUGAGAAAGGGCCAGCGGGCGAACGGGGAGCAAAGGGGAACAGAGACCUUUAAUGAGCUUCUACUAAGUACCGGGAGUUCCGCGGGGCGCUUUGCAGAUCCCGGGGAAGUUCAGAGAAUGAAGUUUUCUUUUGCAAGGACAAAGUAACAGUUUACUUUUUUACACAUGCAGGAAAGCCUUCCUUUCCUGGGGAUGGGACGCCCGUUUCCACUGAAAGUGAAAUCACUGUGAACAACCUGAAAAUUGGAAAGUUGGACCAGCUGUGGGGAGAGAAAGGUCUUCGUGUCCUUUCCCACGUUCACCGUGCCAGUUACACACAAAGCAGAGAUUUUUUUGCUUGAAUCAUUAAAAGCCGGGUGGGUGGGGGGCACCCUAUGUACUGUCUUGCCCUCCUUCGGCCCCUUUCUCACAUUUAUUUGCCAUUUUCUUUUUGCUGACAAGUUCCAUUACAGAAUGCCCCCUCCAUCCCCCGCCGCCAGAUUUUUUAUAUUUCAAUUGUUAUUUACUCCAAGAGUGUGGAAAGUUCUCCUUUAAGAUUCCCCCGCCUUGAACUCUAAACUCAGAGUGGAAAGGGAAUCUGAAAAGUCUCUCAUUUAGCAACACAUCACAUCAGUCCUUUUUGUCAGAUAAACACAGGCACAAUUGCUUUUAAAGAUCUUCAGAAGGAGGAGUCCACCACUUCCACAGUAGAUCCAGAGAGACCCGAACUGAAUGCUUUGCCUUCUCCUUGUGUUAGGAGUUCAGAGGUUCCAUUUGCUUUAAAACACAAGAAGCUACUAAUAAAAUAUAUUUAUUUCGGCAAGGUACCUAUUUUCUCCAAAAGUUUCACCUUCAGUAAUUGCCACAGGAGUAAUUAGAACUCUGUGUUCUAUAAAAUGCCUGACACAUUAAAGACACAAAAUUAGCAUUUGUUUUUAUUCAUGCAAGGAUUUAAAACCAAACCAAAACAAAGCAAAACACCCAGCAAAUAUCAGUUUCCUACAAAUAGUGUAAAAAAACCUCUUGAGGAAUCUUUGUGACCCACACUCCAAAUUGAAAGAGUGCCAUGGAUUUCCCCAAAUUUAGAAUCCUGUCUGGGUUAGAGGAUUUUUUUGGAAUUUCUCAUCACUUGACAAAACAGUUUUCUCUUUUCAAAUAUAAAAGAGCUCCUUGUAAAAUGCUUGGUAAAUUUCUGGGAAGCCGAGUGUUUCUUCCAGAGGGAAGGAUACCUGGAAAUCCGGAUGUAAGCAAGAUAAACCUGUAGCUAAAGCUUUCUUAAAAUUCAUUGAUUCUGGGGGAAGGAAAUAAGUGAUUAGAAAAGUAUUUGGUCAACCAAAACCAUGAUAGUUUGAUAUAUUUACUGCACUGAAAAUACACUAGAAUCAUAUGCAUAGUGGAGCUUGAAGUGGAAAGCCCACCUUACAUUUUGGAAGAAACUUUUAUAUUUCAAUCCCAUAGAUAUCUAAUUUAUUUAAGGAAAC